rnacentral:rRNA from 1 species
GUCGGUAAAACUCGUGCCAGCCACCGCGGUUAUACGAGAGGCCCAAGUUGACAAAAACCGGCGUAAAGCGUGGUUAGUAGUAAUUAAACUAAAGCCGAACACCUUCAAGGCUGUUAUACGCACCCGAAGGCAGGAAGCCCUGCUACGAAAGUGGCUUUAAACAUUAUGACCCCACGAAAGCUAGGAAACAAACUGGGAUUAGAUACCCCACUAUG